rnacentral:tRNA from 1 species
GGGGGGUUAGCUCAGCGGUAGAGCAUCUGACUCCAGAUCAGCAGGUCGGGCGUUCAAUUCGCUCACUCCUCA